rnacentral:rRNA from 1 species
AGUGAACGCUGGCGGUAGGCCUAACACAUGCAAGUCGAACGGCAGCACAGUAAGAGCUUGCUCUUACGGGUGGCGAGUGGCGGACGGGUGAGGAAUACAUCGGAAUCUACUUUUUCGUGGGGGAUAACGUAGGGAAACUUACGCUAAUACCGCAUACGACCUACGGGUGAGAGCAGGGGAUCUUCGGACCUUGCGCGAUUGAAUGAGCCGAUGUCGGAUUAGCUAGUUGGCGGGGUAAAGGCCCACCAAGGCGACGAUCCGUAGCUGGUCUGAGAGGAUGAUCAGCCACACUGGAACUGAGACACGUUCCAGACUCCUACGGGAGGCAGCAGUGGGGAAUAUUGGACAAUGGGCGCAAGCCUGAUCCAGCCAUACCGCGUGGGUGAAGAAGGCCUUCGGGUUGUAAAGCCCUUUUGUUGGGAAAGAAAAGCAGCAGGUUAAUACCCCGCUGUUCUGACGGUACCCAAAGAAUAAGCACCGGCUAACUUCGUG